GUUAAGAACAAAUUCUUAUUUACAAUGACGGCCUACCAAAAGGCAAAAGGCCUCCUGUGGGGACGGGGGCUUGGGAUAAAAAAAUACAAUAUAAAUAUAGGACAAAACACACAUCAUAACAAGAGAGACAACACUACAUAAAGACAGAUCUAAGACAACAACAUAGCAAGGCAGCAACACAUACCACAGCAUGGUAGCAACACAACAUAAGAACAACAUGGUAGCAGCACCAAACAUGGUACAAACAUUAUUGGGCACAGUCAACAGCACAAAGGUCAAGAAGCAACCACCACUGUCAGAAAGAGUGUCCAUGAUUGAGUCUUCAAAUGAAGCUCUUGAGAUAAAACUUUCCAGUUUGAGUGUUUGUUGUAGCUCGUUCCAGUCGCUAGCUGCAGCGAACUGAAAAGAGGAGCGACCCAGGGAUCUGUGUGCUUUGGGGACCUUUAAUAGAAUGGCAGACUGGCAGAACGGGUGUUGUAUGUGGAGGAUGAGGGCUGCAGUAGAUAUCUCAGAUAAGGGGGAGUGAGGCCUAAGAGGGUUUUAUAAAUAAGCAUCAACCAGUGGGUCUUGUGACGGGUAUACAGAGAUGACCAGUUUACAAAGGAGUAUAGAGUGCUGUGAUGUGUCCUAUAAGGAGCAUUGGUGGCAAAUCUCAUGGCCGAAUAGUAAAGAACAUCUAGCCGCUUGAGAGCACCCUUACCUGUCGAUCUAUAAAUUAUGUCUCCGUAAUCUAGCAUGGGUAGGAUGGUCAUCUGAAUCAGGGUUAGUUUGGCAGCUGGGGUGAAAGAGGAGCGAUUACGAUAGAGGAAACCAAGUCUAGAUUCAACUUUAGCCUGCAGCUUUGAUAUGUGCUGAGAGAAGGACAGUGCACCGUCUAGCCAUACUCCCAAGUACUUGUAUGAGGUGACUACCUCAAGCUCUAAACCCUCAGAGGUAGUAAUAACACCUGUGGGAAGAGGGGCAUUCUUCUUACCAAACCACAUGACCUUUGUUUUGGAGGUGUUCAGAACAAGGUUAAGGGUAGAGAAAGCUUGUUGGACAGCUUUGUUGUAGAGAAUUUAGCGCAAAAUCCGGGGAGGGGCCAGCUGAGUAUAAGACUGUAUCAUCUGCAUAGAAAUUUGAUGAGAGAGUUCCUACUGCCUGAGCUACGUUAAUGAUGUAAAUUGAGAACAACGUCGGGCCUAGGAUUGAGCUUUGGGGUACUCCCUUGGUGACAGGCAGUGGCUGAGACAGUAGAUUUUCUGACUUUAUACACUGCACUCAGAGAGGUAGUUAGCAAACCAGGCCAAACACCCCUCAGAGACACCAAUACUCUUUAGCCAGCCAACAAGAAUGGAAUGGUCUACUGUAUCAAAAGCUUUGGCCAAGUCAACAAAAAUAGCAGCACAAGCAGCACUUGCUUAGAAUCAAGGGCAAUGGUGACAUCAUUGAGGACCUUUUAGGUUGUAGUGACACAUCCAUAACCUGAGGGGAAACCAGAUUGCAUACCAUAGAGAAUACUAUAGGCAUCAAGAAAGCCAGUCAGAUGAUUAUUGACAAGUUUUUCCAACACUUUUGAUAAACAAGGCAAAAUAGAAAUAGGCCAUUAACAGUUAGGAUCAGCUUGAUCUCCCCCUUUAAAUAAAGGUUGAACUGUGGCUGCCUUCCAAGCAAUGGGAACCUUCCCAGAAAGGAGAGACAGGUUAAAAAGGUUGGAGAUAAGCUUGCUGCACCCGUCAUCGCCAAGCCUAAAGAAGAAAGGGUUUAAACCAUCUGACCCAGAUUUUUCGGGGGGGGUCAAGUUUAAGGAGAUCCUUUAGCACCUCGGACUCAGUGACUGCCUGCAGGGAGAAACUUUGUAGCGGGGCAGGGGAAAAAGAGGGAGAAGCAUCGGGGAUAGCCACAUUAGAAGGGUUGGGAGAUGAGGAAAUGUUGGACGGGCAAGGAGGCAUGGCUGAGUCAAAUAGGAAUCCUGACUUAAUGAAGGUGUGAUUAAAGAGCUCAGCCAUGUGCUUCUUGUCAGUAGCAACCACAUCAUCAACAUUAACGGACAUGGGCAGCUGUGAGAAGGGUUUAUUCUCCAGGUCUUUAACCAUUUUCCAGAACUUCUUGGGGUUAGACCCACAGAGAGAGAACUGUUCCUUAAAGUAACUAAUUUUGGCCUUCCGGAAAGACUGAGUGCUCUUAUUUCUCAUUUGCUUGAAUGAUAGCCAGUCAGCUUGUGUAUGCGUGUGCCGAGCCUUUCGCUAAAUGCAAUUCUUGAGGUGGAGUAACUCUGCAAGAUCAUGGUCGAACCAGGGACUGAACCUGUUUUUAAUUCUCAUGUUCUUUAUGGGGGCGUGUUUGUUAACAAUACCACUGAAAAUAUACCAAAAGAAAGUCCAAGCGUCUUCUACAGAGGGGAUCAAUCUGAUUCUAUACCAAUUUACACAAGCCAGUUCAUGAAGGAAGGCUUGCUCAUGAAUUUUUUUAAUCGUCUAUGACAAAUCAGGACAGGUCGUUUCACUGAGCAGCCAUUACGAACACAGGCUGUAAAACAGUGAUCACUAAGGUCAUUACAGAAAACACCAGACUGAUACCUAUCAGGAUUAUUUGUGAGGAUAACAUCGAGGAGAGCAGCCUUUUCUGGGUGUUUGAAGUCAUACCUUGUGGGAUUGGUGAUAAUCUGAGAAAGAUUUAGGGAGUCCCAUUGCUUUAGGACUUGGUUAGGUGGUUUAAGCAUGUCCCAGUUUAGGUCACCUAGCAGGACAAAUUCCGACUUAGUGUAAGGGGCCAGGAGAGAGCUUAGGGUAUGUAGGGUACAGGCCAGUGCUAAUGGAGGACGAUAGCACCCAGCAAGAGUCAACAAAGAGCUAUUUGAAAGUUUAAUGCUUAAAAGUAAAUCAAAUUGUUUGGGAACAGACUUGAUGGAGACAACUGAGCACUGAAGGUGAUCCUUGGUAAAGAUUGCCACUCCUCCACCUUUGGAAGAUCUGUCUUGCCGAAAAAGGUUAUAACCAGAAAGGUUAACAUCAGUAUUCAAAACACGCUUAACCACGUCUCAGUAAUGACCAACACAUCUGGAUAGGAGCUAUGAACCCACACUUUCAAUUGAUCCAUUUUAUGUAAUAAGCUUCAAUUGUUAACGUGCAGAAAAACCAGGCUUUUACGAGAGCAAAAAUCAGUGAAGCAGAUUUCAGAGCGCAAGUAAGAAUUGGGGCUAGCAACAAUAGAUGGGUCAGGGUGUACAUGCACAUUUCCAGAUAUCAUCAGCAGUAAUACAAUCAGGGCACGGCAGAGGGCAGGGAGAGCUCUGCAGUGCUGAUUUAUGACAUCUUAAUGUACAUCAGAUGGUAACAAGAUCAUAUUGUACAGCAAUUUCAUCAAGUAACAUGAAUACAAAGCUGGAGAGAGGUGAUUAGAAUAGGAUGGGAGGCCAAAACCAAUAGAGAGUCAGAGUCCCAAGUGUGGGAACAAACAUAGUCUGUCCCAAUGUUGGGUAAAGAAAGUUUGUAGUCAACAAAGUAUUCAGGAGUCAUGAAGUAAAUAGCAAAAAAGCAAAAUGCACAAUAAUAAAAAAAUAUAUAUAACGACUUGGGGCUACCCAUUGUAAGUUCAGAGUCACUCACCCAAACAACGCGUGUGUGCUGGAGGCGAGAGUAAGCUCGGGAGAGAGGGGGGAGUAUGGUGGAGGUAACUGUACCAGACAGGGGGAGACAGGCCAGGGCAGACGGUGAACAGAGAGGGGUGAGUAUGGUGGAGGUAACUGUACCAGAUGGGGGGAGACAGGCCAGGGCAGACGAGGGGAGUAUGGUGGAGAUACCUGUACCAGACAGGGGGAGACAGGCCAGGGCAGACGGUGAACAGAGAGGGGUGAGUGUGGUGGGGGUACCUGUACCAGACAGGGGAAGACAGACCAGGGAGAGAGGGGUGAGUGUGGUGGGGGUACCUGUACCAGACAGGGGGAGACAGGCCAGAGCAGACGGAGAACAGAGAGGGGUGAGUGUGGUGGAGGUACCUGUACCAGACAGGGGGAGACAGGCCAGGGCAGACGGUGAACAGAGAGGGGUG
ensembl:lncRNA